GCUGAUAUAGCACAACGGUAGUGCAGCUGAUUUGUAACCAGCAGGUUUACGGUUCGAAUCCGUAUAUCAGCU
rnacentral:tRNA from 1 species